GAGUAAGUGGUUCCUUUGAAUGCUCCGCUGCUUCCCUUCCCAGUUGCUCAGUCCUCUCAAACUCCGACCUCUGCCUCACGGCUGACACUGCCCUCAUCAAGGACAUCAAAGAACCAAUUUGUCUGGGGAAGGAGCCAGACGCGGGCAAACAGUGCAGGCUUGGCAACCACAAAGUCCUGAGUCCUUCCCCAGCUCAGGCAUGUCACCUCACUUCUCUCACUGGUUUCACCCCUCUGUGGCAUGAGAAUGAAAUGAGAUGAAAGAUGCUGAAUUCAGACGAGCCUUCUCUGGAUCCUGGCCACCACUCAGGAUAGUGAAGCUCUAGGACCCACCCCAUUGAGGAAUGCAGACUUCCAAGAUCUCCCUUCUGGAUGAAGCGGCCUCCUCACACUGUGUGCUUU
rnacentral:lncRNA from 1 species